AGCCGGUGUACCCCGAUGGGUAAGGGGGCUUGCCGUUGGCGUAAGCCAGCGGCCAGUUGAUGCCAGGUUCGAGUCCGGCCCCGGCUU
rnacentral:tRNA from 2 species